CUCAUGUCGAUGUCACUCACAAAGAUGCUCAUGCAACGGCUGGCGCAGCUUUGAAGGAAGGAGCCUCAGUUCUAAACGGGCUUUGAUCCUCCCAUGCAGCUCCGAAAACAAUGCUUCACAAAGGAGGCGACACGCAGAGGCCUGACGGGAGACACUGGCCCCGAGAAUGCCGCAGACGUUUUCUGCUGUUUAAACUACAACAAAGGCUUGUCAGCAUACUGUACAUCCGGAGCGAGAUGCAUUUCUAAAGUAUGUGUCAAAGAGUCAGCUGGAGCUCUUUGAAGGCGGCUUUUUGAAUGUAAAGCUCCGAGCCUCUGCAGCUUCGACGCGUUUGCUGCAGAAGGAAAGCUGUGGUCAGCAUACAGAGCCUCGCGAACACACAUUUUAGCAUAGCCUACUUUAUAGGGGAUUUUAUGUGACAGACCAACACAAAGCAACACAUAAAUGUAAACUCUUAUUCAUGUAGAUAAAAUCCAUUGUAACCACCUGCCUUAAGAGGUCUCCUAUUUAGCGAGGCACUGCAGUUUCUGGGUAGUCACCGUUCAUUUCCAUCUAAAGUCAACUGCUUAACAAACUUGUUUGAAGUGCUAAAGUUUACUUUUUCCGAAUGCAUGGCUCAACAUCUCAGCAGACUUUCAUUCAAGAUGCUAUGUAAUUAGUUUUAGUUUAGAGGGCUGAAAUGCUGUUUUAAUCUCUGCUGUUUGUAGGUAUUAUGUCGCUCCGCAGAC